GAUGGACGCUAGCGGGAGGCCUAACACAUGCAAGCCGAGCGGUAUUGUUUCUUCGGAAAUGAGAGAGCGGCGUACGGGUGCGUAACACGUGUGCAACCUGCCUUUAUCUGGGGGAUAGCCUUUCGAAAGGAAGAUUAAUACUCCAUAAUAUAUUGAACGGCAUCGUUUAAUAUUGAAAGCUCCGGCGGAUAGAGAUGGGCACGCGCAAGAUUAGCUAGUUGGUGAGGUAACGGCUCACCAAGGCGAUGAUCUUUAGGGGGCCUGAGAGGGUGAUCCCCCACACUGGUACUGAGACACGGACCAGGCUCCUACGGGAGGCAGCAGUGAGGAAGAUUGGUCAAUGGGUGCAAGCCUGAACCAGCCAUCCCGCGUGAAGGACGACUGCCCUAUGGGUUGUAAACUUCUUUUGGAUAGGGAUAAACCUACCCUCGAGAGGGUAGCUGAAGGUACUAGACGAAUAAGCACCGGCUAACUCCGUG
rnacentral:rRNA from 1 species